rnacentral:rRNA from 1 species
GUCAGAGUUUGAUCCUGGCUCAGAACGAACGCUGGCGGCAUGCUUAACACAUGCAAGUCGAACGGUAGAGGGGGCAACCCCUUGAGAGUGGCGAACGGGUGAGUAAUAUAUCGGAACGUGCCCAGUCGUGGGGGAUAACGUAGUGAAAAUUACGCUAAUACCGCAUACGAUCUUUGGAUGAAAGCGGGGAUCGCAAGACCUCGCGCGAUUGGAGCGGCCGAUAUCAGAUUAGGUAGUUGGUGAGGUAAAGGCUCACCAAGCCGACGAUCUGUAGCUGGUCUGAGAGGACGACCAGCCACACUGGAACUGAGACACGGUCCAGACUCCUACGGGAGGCAGCAGUGGGGAAUUUUGGACAAUGGGCGCAAGCCUGAUCCAGCCCAUGCCGCGUGAGUGAAGAAGGUCUUCGGAUUGUAAAGCUCUUUGCCAGGGGACGAUAAUGACGGUACCUGGAGAAUAAGCCCCGGCAAACUUCGUGCCAGCAGCCGCGGUAAUCUGAUGGCGCGAGGGA